UACGUACCGUCCAAACGUUAUUCGGAAUCACUGGGCUUAAAGGGCGCGUAGGCGGGCUGCCGCGUCCGGGGUGAAAUCCUCCGGCUCAACCGGGGAAGGGCCUCGGAUACGGGCGGCCUGGAGUGGGGUAGGGGCGUGCGGAACUGUGGGUGGAGCGGUGAAAUGCGUUGAGAUCCACAGGAACUCCGGUGGCGAAGGCGGCACGCUGGACCCUUUCUGACGCUGAGGCGCGAAAGCCAGGGGAGCGAACGGG
rnacentral:rRNA from 1 species